UCGACUGAAGAAAGACAGACAUGAACAUCUUGGAUGACAUGGGGGUGAGUAAAUUAUCAGGAAAUUUUCAUUUGAAAGUGAACUAAUCCUUUAAAGGUGCUUCCCCUUUAAAAUGCAUAAUUCCAGGCAGCGGUUCAAAAUGAGGGUUAAAGAUAAUAUUUUUUCCAUGUAUAUUGUUUGUGUGUGCAUGAGCAAAACAGCUCUACUAACAUUAUAAGGGAUAUCAAAACAUAUUAAAAUAAAAAGUCCUUGUCAUGGCCUUUUUAAUACAUUUCAAUGUUUGAUUUUGAGGAUGGCUUAUCAUACAUGUAAAGUCUAGGUCCAGAAGUCUAGAUGUCAAAGCACCGGUUCUUCAGUACCAUCAAUGACUGGAACAACAUUCACUAACUCAUUCAGCAUAUUAGGACUGAGUCUCUUAUGGGUUUUAAGGUCAGUAUAUUUGCAUUUUAUGGUGAUGGAAACAUAAUGGCUCAUCAUUCAGUCACAUUGAACAUUUCCAGGAAGUAUAUUAAAGUGUUCGGUAAGGUGUGACUCAGAAACGUCUCACAAAAGGACUCAUACCAUCAGAGGGAAAGCAUCCAGCUCAUGAACAGCAGUAUUGUGCACUGACCGACCGUCAUCUGAAAUCCAGAAUCAGUGUUACUCCAGCUGUCCUUAAUGAGAAGUCCAGACUGAAGCGGCGGCCAGCAGACGUGGAAUCAUGGAAUAUGUGUCUCUGUGCCGUUAACGGAGAAGGAACAUUCCAGAACUAAUGCAGAACUUCAGCAACCGUUUAUUAGCAGCAUUCCUCAACAAAUGUGAGUCACGCUUCAGCGGUCACAUGCACAGAGAGAAAGAGCACCAUCACUGGACCACAAUGAAACACUGAGAUUUACAAAAGGAAUUGAUUCUCACCGUUGUUCUCUUGCUCAUGUUCAUUUUGAUCCUGCAAAACAAGAGCAGAUUUGAGAUCAGAUGCAUUCAUAAAACUAACCUGGACAGUGUUUGUCAAGCUUCAGUAUUAAAUACAGUCUCUCAUUCGGGUCAACUGUCCUAACAACAUGAAAUGCCAUUCAUGAAGUUUUUAAACUCUGUAAAAAAAAGAAAGAAAAGAAAUACAGGCAUUUCAAAGGCAGAUUAAGUAACUAAAUUUAUUUUGAUGAAAGAAUGUUCUUAAAAAUGUGCAAUUAAUUUUGUACUAUAAGAGCAGAGACAUUGAAGACACAAAAUGGACACAAAAGCUUGUUAAAAUCACCACAGGAUAAAAUCAGUAAGAAAUUCCUCCUGUGAAGGACAAAUGAAUGAAGUUCAUCCACAUAAAGAGCUGCGGUUUUACUGACCCAGAGAACAGCUGUGGUGUCCAGCAGUGUGUGUGCGUGCAUGUGUGUGUGUGUGUGUGUGUGUGUGUGUGUGUGUGUGUGUGUGUGUGUUUUCCACAGACCCUGCGGCUGUUAGUUUGUACCCCACCCAACUAACCGUGUUAUUUUAGACACACAUACAGUCAGUUAUCAGCACUACUGUGAGCCAAAUACAGUUAUGAUAAUGAAACCCCUCUGAACUUAGUCUUACACAGAAAUAAAACUGGUCAUUUGUUAGACCUUUAAUAAAAAGGAGAAUAAAAAUUAAUUUUAAAUGAAUGAACAAAAUUUCCUGUUUUUCUCUAGACUAGUACAAAAAUAAUUAAAUCUUUAUUAUAGAAAAAUAUGUAUUUUCUGUUUGUCUCGAUUGCCUCUGGCCUUAAAGCACUUGAUUAAUCAUUGCACACUUUAUUUUUUUAUUCAUUCAUUUUUAAGAAAUUGAUAAAUAGAAA